rnacentral:lncRNA from 1 species
AAUAGUUUACCUGCAAACAAUAAUUGUUGGGUAAUUUGCUUAAUUAGGGUUCCCGGCUCUGUGGUACCAGCCAAUGUCAACCUGCUAGACUCCACCUGAGGUGAUCUGCCUCCUUGUGUGGUUUGCAUAGCACCAUAUGCUGCCCCGACUGAAUUUUUUACUCAGUGUGAAAUAAUUCCUGUUGACAGGAUAACCACAAUCACAGCAGUGCUCCUGGCAGAGCCGGGCUCCCCCAAACCUGUAAAGGCCAGCAUUUCAUCGGACAGUACUUCUGGGAGUGCGCAAAGCUUGUGUUCGGAAUGAGGAUGAAGGAUGACCUGGAGGUGAGAACGCUUUUUAAAACAUUUCAUAAAGAUUCAUUUUUUUGUUAUUAUUUCAUU